rnacentral:rRNA from 1 species
UACGUAGGGUGCGAGCGUUGUCCGGAAUUAUUGGGCGUAAAGAGCUCGUAGGCGGUCUGUCGCGUCGAUCGUGAAAACUUGGGGCUUAACCCUGAGCUUGCGGUCGAUACGGGCAUGACUGGAGUUCGGCAGGGGAGACUGGAAUUCCUGGUGUAGCGGUGAAAUGCGCAGAUAUCAGGAGGAACACCGGUGGCGAAGGCGGGUCUCUGGGAAGAUACUGACGCUGAGGUGCGAAAGCGUGGGGAGCAAACAGG